AGAGUUUGAUCCUGGCUCAGGACGAACGCUGGCGGCGUGCCUAAUACAUGCAAGUCGAGCGGACAGAUGGGAGCUUGCUCCCUGAUGUUAGCGGCGGACGGGUGAGUAACACGUGGGUAACCUGCCUGUAAGACUGGGAUAACUCCGGGAAACCGGGGCUAAUACCGGAUGGUUGUUUGAACCGCAUGGUUCAAACAUAAAAGGUGGCUUCGGCUACCACUUGCAGAUGGACCCGCGGCGCAUUAGCUAGUUGGUGAGGUAAUGGCUCACCAAGGCAACGAUGCGUAGCCGACCUGAGAGGGUGAUCGGCCACACUGGGACUGAGACACGGCCCAGACUCCUACGGGAGGCAGCAGUAGGGAAUCUUCCGCAAUGGACGAAAGUCUGACGGAGCAACGCCGCGUGAGUGAUGAAGGUUUUCGGAUCGUAAAGCUCUGUUGUUAGGGAAGAACAAGUGCCGUUCGAAUAGGGCGGUACCUUGACGGUACCUAACCAGAAAGCCACGGCUAACUACGUGCCAGCAGCCGCGGUAAUACGUAGGUGGCAAGCGUUGUCCGGAAUUAUUGGGCGUAAAGGGCUCGCAGGCGGUUUCUUAAGUCUGAUGUGAAAGCCCCCGGCUCAACCGGGGAGGGUCAUUGGAAACUGGGGAACUUGAGUGCAGAAGAGGAGAGUGGAAUUCCACGUGUAGCGGUGAAAUGCGUAGAGAUGUGGAGGAACACCAGUGGCGAAGGCGACUCUCUGGUCUGUAACUGACGCUGAGGAGCGAAAGCGUGGGGAGCGAACAGGAUUAGAUACCCUGGUAGUCCACGCCGUAAACGAUGAGUGCUAAGUGUUAGGGGGUUUCCGCCCCUUAGUGCUGCAGCUAACGCAUUAAGCACUCCGCCUGGGGAGUACGGUCGCAAGACUGAGACUCAAAGGAAUUGACGGGGGCCCGCACAAGCGGUGGAGCAUGUGGUUUAAUUCGAAGCAACGCGAAGAACCUUACCAGGUCUUGACAUCCUCUGACAAUCCUAGAGAUAGGACGUCCCCUUCGGGGGCAGAGUGACAGGUGGUGCAUGGUUGUCGUCAGCUCGUGUCGUGAGAUGUUGGGUUAAGUCCCGCAACGAGCGCAACCCUUGAUCUUAGUUGCCAGCAUUCAGUUGGGCACUCUAAGGUGACUGCCGGUGACAAACCGGAGGAAGGUGGGGAUGACGUCAAAUCAUCAUGCCCCUUAUGACCUGGGCUACACACGUGCUACAAUGGACAGAACAAAGGGCAGCGAAACCGCGAGGUUAAGCCAAUCCCACAAAUCUGUUCUCAGUUCGGAUCGCAGUCUGCAACUCGACUGCGUGAAGCUGGAAUCGCUAGUAAUCGCGGAUCAGCAUGCCGCGGUGAAUACGCUCCCGGGCCUUGUACACACCGCCCGUCACACCACGAGAGUUUGUAACACCCGAAGUCGGUGAGGUAACCUUUUAGGAGCCAGCCGCCGAGGGUGGGACAGAUGAUUGGGGUGAAGUCG
rnacentral:rRNA from 1 species